GACUCUCGGCAACGGAUAUCUCGGCUCUUGCAUCGAUGAAGAACGUAGCGAAAUGCGAUACUUGGUGUGAAUUGCAGAAUCCCGUGAACCAUCGAGUCUUGAACGCAAGUUGCGCCCGAAGCCAUUAGGCCGAGGGCACGCCUGCCUGGGUGUCA
rnacentral:rRNA from 1 species